rnacentral:rRNA from 1 species
GGUGGGGAUGACGUCAAAUCAUCAUGCCCCUUAUGUCUUGGGCUUCACGCAUGCUACAAUGGCCGGUACAGAGGGCUGCGAUACCGUGAGGUGGAGCGAAUCCCUUAAAGCCGGUCUCAGUUCGGAUCGGUGUCUGCAACUCGACACCGUGAAGUUGGAGUCGCUAGUAAUCGCAGAUCAGCAACGCUGCGGUGAAUACGUUCCCGGGC